rnacentral:rRNA from 1 species
GACGAAGGUGGCAAGCGUUACUCGGAUUUACAGGGCAUAAAACGCGCGUAGGCGGCUUGGUCAGUCGGAGGUGAAAGCCCGCGGCUCAACCGCGGAACGGCCCCCGAUACUGCCAGGCUUGAGGCCGGGAGGGGUGAUCGGAACUCCAGGUGUAGCGGUGAAAUGCGUAGAUAUCUGGAGGAACACCAGAGGCGAAGGCGGAUCACUGGACCGGAACUGACGCUAAGGCGCGAAAGCUAGGGGAGCAAACAGG